AUUCCAGCUCCAAUAGCGAAUACUAAUUCUGCUGCAGUUAAAAAGCUCGUAGUCGGAUUUUGGCAUCACGCCGAACUGUCUGCCGAUUGGUAAGUACGGUUUGGCGGGUGCUUCCUUCCGGAGGCUCGUUCCCUUCUUCAUUGAAGGGUUCGUUGGUUCCGGGUCUUUUACUUUGAGAAAAUUAGAGUGUUCAAAGCAGGCCUAUGCUCUGAAUAGGUUAGCAUGGAAUAAUAGAAUAGGACUUUGGUUCUAUUUUGUUGGUUUCUAGAGCUGAGGUAAUGAUUAAUAGGGAUAGUUGGGGGCAUUCGUAUUUAACUGUCAGAGGUGAAAUUCUUGGAUUUGUUAAAGACUAACUUAUGCGAAAGCAUUCACCAAGGAUGUCUUCAUCA
rnacentral:rRNA from 1 species